rnacentral:rRNA from 1 species
GACGAACGCUGGCGGCGUGCCUAAUACAUGCAAGUCGAGCGGGGAUUAUGCUUGAUCGCUUCGGUGAGACGGCAUAUAUCCUAGCGGCGGACGGGUGAGUAACGCGUGGGUAAUCUACCUCGUAGUUCGGGAUAACAGGCCGAAAGGCUUGCUAAUACCGGAUGAGUUCAUGCUUAUGCAUAUAGGCAUGAAGAAAGGGCUAGCCCGCUAUGAGAUGAGCCCGCGUCCCAUUAGCUUGUUGGUGGGGUAAUGGCCUACCAAGGCAACGAUGGGUAGCCGGCCUGAGAGGGUGUACGGCCACACUGGGACUGAGACACGGCCCAGACUCCUACGGGGGCAGCAGUAGGGAAUUUUCGGCAAUGGGCGAAAGCCUGACCGAGCGACGCCGCGUGAGGGACGAAGGCCUUCGGGUUGUAAACCUCUGUCUGGGGGAUGAGAACGGACGGUACCCCGGAGGAAGCCCGGCUAACUACGUG